UGUGUUUAUGGGUGUAAGUCGCUUUGGAUAAAAGCAUCUGCUAAAUGCAUUUUA
rfam:Danio rerio chromosome 17, GRCz11 reference primary assembly.